rnacentral:lncRNA from 1 species
UUCUUGCCAGCGUACUUUCCGGGCUUGAAUGAGAAUGUCUCAGAGCCACCGUCGAUAGUUGGGCACUGGUUAGCGGUUCCAGUUCCUUUCACUUCCAUGUAUGUCUUGCUCUGAAUCUCAUCGUAGGUCAGUCUCUUCGGAGCUCCCUCUGCACUUGCUCCCUGCAUUACAGGAGAAACAUACAGCUUUUAAGUCAAGUGAUCCAACAAGACUGAGUCGAAGAUUACAAGAACUGGAAUAGCGGUUUCUCGUUCUACUACGCUAAUCCGAAUCAGUUAUUGGUUUAGGUGUUCUGCUCCGUUUUCAGUUUAAUAUAAAUUAAUGUAUACAUAGUAAUGCAAAUCAGAGUUAUGCUAUAUGAAACACAAAAGAAAAUUCUUCCCAGUUACUCAAUUCCUCUCUGUUUCUUGAUUAGUCUAUAGUUCAUAAUGAUCUUUAUCGAAGAAUCUGUGAGAGAGGAGAGUAGGUGAUUCGAGAAAGUUACCGAGACAACGAGAGCAGAGGUGGCAAGAGCGAAUCCGGCAAUUUUUACAGCGUCGGAGCAUUUUCCGGCCAAGUCCUUGAAGUCAGACUGGAAGGAGCAAGUGAGGCGAGCAGAAGAAGUUUCUAGCCCGAAAGAUUUGCCAACGGUCUGAGUGGACCGGAGGUGAGCACUGCCGCGAGAAGGAGCGGUGGAGAUCUUCGCCGACUGGAGGAAUGUGGCGGCGGAUUGGAGAGAGGCUGCCAUGGCCACAAAGUGUCUCAGAUGGUUUUUGAGAUUUUGUUUUGUGAUCCAAAGCU